GAUGAACGCUAGCGGCAGGCCUAAUACAUGCAAGUCGGACGGGAUUCAGGAGCUUGCUUCUGAUGAGAGUGGCGCACGGGUGCGUAACACGUAUGUAACCUACCUUUAUCAGGGGGAUAGCCUCUCGAAAGAGAGAUUAAGCCCGCAUAAAAUCACAGCACAGCAUUGUGUAAUGAUCAAAUAUUUAUAGGAUAAAGAUGGGCAUGCGGAACAUUAGCUAGAUGGCGGGGUAACGGCCCACCAUGGCGACGAUGUUUAGGGGAUCUGAGAGGAUGGCCCCCCACACUGGUACUGAGACACGGACCAGACUCCUACGGGAGGCAGCAGUAAGGAAUAUUGGUCAAUGGGCGGAAGCCUGAACCAGCCAUGCCGCGUGCAGGAAGACGGCCCUACGGGUUGUAAACUGCUUUUAGACGGGAAUAAACCCAGAUACGUGUAUCUGGCUGAAUGUACUGGAAGAAUAAGGAUCGGCUAACUCCGUG
rnacentral:rRNA from 1 species